rnacentral:lncRNA from 1 species
CUAAAAAAUAGGGGCUUACGUUUUUCAGCCGCAUCGCACUUCCGCAUAAACAAUGGAUCCGCUGGGCUGGAUGAGCAACCUUCUCUGGAAAAUAAUAGUGAAAAGCCAUGUCACUUGGAACGGAACUGGUUGCUUACUUACUUUUAGUAAGACCACUUUGGUAAGCAAAAUUCGAUUAGAUAGGCAUGGUUGCUUACAAGACAAGACAAAAGACAGCUUCUAG